rnacentral:rRNA from 1 species
UACGAAGGGGGCUAGCGUUGUUCGGAAUUACUGGGCGUAAAGGGCGCGUAGGCGGUGCUUCAAGUCAGGCGUGAAAGCCCCGGGCUCAACCUGGGAACCGCGCUUGAGACUGGAGGACUAGAGUUCGGGAGAGGAUGGUGGAAUUCCCAGUGUAGAGGUGAAAUUCGUAGAUAUUGGGAAGAACACCGAUGGCGAAGGCAGCCAUCUGGACCGACACUGACGCUGAGGCGCGAAAGCGUGGGGAGCGAACAGG